CCUAUCAGAGGGGGCAGGGGGCGGGUCCAAGCGGCUCGGCCGGGGCCGCGGCCUGGGCCGUCCCUCUGCCCGAGCCCGCGGAGAGCGGCGGGAGCGGCCGCGGGUUCUGGGGUGCGCUUGGCCCGAACCCGCCUUUGUUUUGCCGAGAUCUGAAGCAGCAGCGUGCUUCAUGCUCUCAGUUUCCUGUUUCCCGUUGGGUUUUUGGGGGUGGGGGUGUUUCUUUUCGGGUUUUAGGAAUGCUUCUUUAGUGGUGGGUAGGGUGUGAGCCGCAUUCUGUUCUCAUCUUUAUUCAUCUGAUUUUAAUGAAACACAGUUUAAGUGCUGAAACCUCCUCUUGGCCAUGCCUUGCAGUGGUUUACUGAACUGUGUUCUAUGUAGCGUUAAAGUUCAAAAUGGUUCAUCUUCUUGGGAACCUUGUUGCCCAACAUCCCACCUAGCGAGCAGGCACCGGCAAGAGUGAUUAUCUCGGGCACAUUCAAGUACCUAGUGGAGGAAUUCUGCUUCUUCAUAAGACCAGGCAACUGGGAAUCAGUCAUGACUGGCACCUGAAGCUGGCAGAAUGAACCUAGGCAUUGCUGGAUGUUUUAGUUCAUAUUUUGUUCUAUUUGCCUUUAAAAUUCCCACUUAAAUUUUUAUUUUCUUUUUGAUUUUUGUAUCACUUCCAACACGAUGUACCGUAUGAAGCUUUAGCCUGCCUUUGAGAGAAUGAAAGGGUGUUGCACAGGGUAAGGUAACAAUCUACGAUUCAUGUCCAUAAUGAAGGGGGAAAGAUGUCUGCAGUUUAAACUGCAGUAAGAAAAAUGCAAGGGGGGGGCGGAAAAAAUCCUUCUACUGGUAAAGAUACCACAACAGAAGAUUGCCUAAUGGGGAGAGCAUGGGUAUGGGAUCUUCAUCACCUGAGGCUUUAAAGAAAGGAUGGAGCUGGUGCGUAUUCUUUCUGUUUUUACCUCUGUAGGCUGGUCUCAAGAAAACCAUUGAGCUGACAAAGCAGUGGAUAUUGCUUGAUAUAACAAGAUCUUUGUUUAAACCUCAAAACUGUGUCAGCUAGCUAACAUUUUAAGACACCUUAUUGCCAGCAGAGAUGGAAAAGGAUGAACUGCUUCCAAAGCUUUCACAGACCUUUUUGUAACAGCUCAUCAUCAACAAAAACUCUCAUUCCAGGAUGGGUCUGAGUCCUUGGAAUUGCACAUCUACCAACUGCAGAGAAAGAGCUGAAAUUGACUUUGGAUUCAUCUCCACUGGUGAGGGCUGGCCUUAGGCUCGAAUUCCUCCCAUGCGGGUGGGUGGUUUCAACAUCUUCCUGCUGCAGUGAGAAGUAUGAAAAGUGACAGAUCACAGAAGAGUUUAAGAAUGAAAGCAACGAUUGCACCUUCAUGUAAACAAAUCAAAUCCUUGGGCCACUUGCCCUGUUCUCAUCAAGUCCUCAUUUAGCUUCUCUCUAUAAAUUAUUUAACAGUAAUUAUGUUCUCUUGGAAUGAAGAGUUCCUGUUCACAUUUGUGCUUUAGCCAAUAAUGUAUCACAAGGAUGUAAAAUAGGGUACCUGUCUUCCUGUGGGCCCUCACUCCUGUCCAGCUUUCUCUUUUCCUAAUGCACGCAUACCUAUGGCAGCAUCUGCCUUCAUUUCUUUAUUCCUUUUAACUAGUAAGUGCUGGAGAAGAGAUGGAAGACAGUUAACAGCUCUAUGUACAGAAAACAUCCCAGCAGUCACAAACUACUUGGGGAAACGGGAGCUUCAAAGAUCUUAAUGAGAACACCAGCUGCCGGCUUAUUCAUUGAACAGUCACUGGAUGCCAUCUCACUAGCAUGUUACUUGGUGAAAAUCUAUUUUGAAUGUCUGGUGGUGUCUUUGCACUAAUUUGGAACAGAGACUUUCAGCAGGGAUUGUUAAAGUGCUAUAGUGGCUAUGCCAAACCAAAGAUCACUCUAGCUAAGAAAUCUUUUGCCAGUAGCAAAUGCCCAUAGUAGAACCAGGACAAGCAUGUACUCCCCUGUAUACUUUUCCCAGUGAUUCCAGUGACAUUACCAAAAGCAGUGAGUUUUCGGGGAAGCUGUUAACACACUGCUUACAGGACUUAUCUCAUGCAAUUGUGCAGAUUCCAGACUUGGGGAACGUCACAUAAAUACAGACUGUGCACUUCUGACUGCCAGGCAAGACUUCAGCACAGUGAAAGAGGAAUUUGCAUGGUCAUUUUCAUCUUUCUUACGUGAAACUUCCCACUGAAAGGGAAGCUAACUCCAACUAAACUCUGAAUGUUAUAAAAGAUCCAAACAAGAUGUUAGUGGCUUACUUGUUUAUGUCCCCUUUAUUAACUGGUUUCUGGUUCAGGGUACACAGUUGUCCUUUUUAUGCUCUCACUUCUGCUAACUGGUGAAAACACUUGAAGCAACGGAUAUGUAUAGUAAGAAUUUGAACUGAAAGUAGUGCUAGUUGACUGUAAAGUGCAAAUACUUUUAGUAGGACAGCCUGGUAAAAAUAGAUGCACAUGUUGAUUAGUUAAUUUCUAUUAGAGAGAUGUUAGUACUUAUUUUAGUAAAAUUCAAAUGCAAUUAAAAUGCAGGAAAUCAGUUUAGUAAAAUGACACCAUCUUACUGAAGCUGCGGAAUAUAUAAGAUUAGAAUGUGCUUCGCAUUUAAAACUGAUCAAAUUGUUAAGAUGAAAUUCACCUCAUAUAUAACUGUAUAGCCUCUAAGAUUUUAGAACUCACAGGUCUUAGCUUCUCAUACUUAAUUCUUACUAGCAGUUUGGAAAAUAAAAGCAGUCCAGUGGUCUUCUCAGUGCUAAUACUGAAUUAUGAACUCUCCUAUACUUGUAGAGGGCAGAGCUGCCAAACUGACUGAAUAAUUUCAGCAAACUGUACUUGGUACUUAGUCAUUUACUUCCUUUACCCAUUUUUAUCUUUAAAACUUUUGCAGCAAACAUGUACUAAGUGGCUUCUUGUUUGUAUUUCUUAUACUACAUGAUGGCCUUAUUACAAAGUGUCAAUUUCAGUUAGCCUAAUUUUUCAGACAAAAGAAGCUUUUAUAUUAAAAAGCAAAGUAGUGGAUUAUAAAGUAAAUCUGUGAUGUUGGGGGGGUUAUUUGGGAGCUGUGUGAAAGAAAAUGUAAGCAAAGUGAUUAGUUAAAACUUGGUACAGGGGUUUUUUUUGUGUGAUUGUAUAUCCAGAGGGGAUUAUUUCCUACUAUAAUGAUCAGCAACAGUCAUAGUAAAUGCAAAGGAAAAUACCUUAAUUUCCCAGUGGAUAUAAAUCUGAAUAAACAUGACUUUUUUUCUGACGUCUUUGGGGCAGCAGAAAAGGAUGCGUCUCCUUUCCAAAGGAAAAAUAUUACGGCUUUGAAUAACUGCACAAAAAUGCAACUACAUUUUGUAUCUGAAGUGCUACACUAGGAAUAUCAGUGAAAUUACACUGUCAAUGUCAACACUAAUGGAUUUAGAAAAGAAAGAUUUAAGACAUCAGACUUUAAAAGGGAAAAACAGGUUUAUUUCAUGCAGUUUACAAUACACUAGUGUUAUGAAAAGGUUAAAAAAAUAUCCACACACAUUUUAGUUGUAUGUUUGUUUUAAAAAUGAUGGUUAACUGCAACCACCUUCAAAUGAUUUGGGAAGCCCUAGCAGAUUUUUAUCCAGGGAAAUUCCAUGGAUUCAGUUUCUUGCCUAUGUCUGUGCUAAGAGUUUUGGCUAAUGCAAAAGCAUUAAAACCAGAUCAAAACUCAAACUUUGCUGCAGUAAGAACACUUCAGAGAUAAUGAAUUGGCACAAAAUAAAGUGUUAUUGCUAAUCCACUAUCCAGGAAAUAACAUGUUGCAAGUAUGGCCACUUGGAUAUUAACACAAACAGCUGAUGCACAGCUAAUGUUGAGACCAGUGAUUCUGGAGAAGAGUUAAAAAAAAACAAAGAACAUCUGCUGAAUUGGGUAGGUGGGCUUAGAGAGUCCAUGGGAAAUAGACUUCUCAUAGCUAGGCUCAGAUGAGGCUUAGGACGGAAGCAGGUGGAAAUAGUUGCCAUUUGAUACUCCUUCAGUUUGGUGAUCUUGUUUCAGUUUCAGGUAGACAGGCUGCAACAUUGCUCUUACAGUGCCUUGGCACUUGCUUCAUCCUAGCAAGUACACAUGAGCCAAGUCAAGUUUGAGUAAAGCUGUGCAUAAGCUUUUGGAAAAUCUUCAGAAGGAGCAAGAAUCAUGUACAUAAAUACAUUAACUCUUAUGUUUCAGAUGACCAGGCCUGGAAAUCUCAACAGGUGCCAAGUCAGGUCAGAAUUUAGGCUCAGCUUUCUAAGGCAAGAUCACUGUCACAGAACGUUCACCCCCAAAGUAGCAAAAUAACUUUCUGAAAGGCCUCUCUCAUUAUAGCAGUUAUUAACACACAACAUCCUAAAAAGAACCCUUUGAUGGGCCCAGAAAACUAUGUUUGCAGCAGUAUCUAUUCACAGAACCUUUGAGUUUAUGCCUCGGUAGACCUUGCUAAAGUAAAGGGCAGCUAAGCUGCAAUGCAAUAUUCAGCAACAAUUUCCUGGGGCAGAAUCAUCUCAAAGUCUCUCUAUUGCCAGUGCUGUUCGUAAGAGUUGUUAAGAUUUCAGCACUGGCAAUAACAAAGUGCUGGGCAAGUGUACCGUCUUCUCUAGUGUAUUCCUUACCAACCUGGAUACUGAAAUUCCAAACCAUACAUGAACAUUUACAUCUGCAACUGCUUCAGCCAUUUGUAAAAACGAUUUUGGAGUCCGUGAGUUGAAAGAAAACCAGAGUAGCUGCUUUUUAAAUGUUAUGUGUCUCUGGAACUUCAAAUUAACCCUGGAAAGGAUUUUAGCCCUUAGCAUUUCUGCACUGAAAAUGGAAAGAGUUCCUCUAUCUGACACUCAUUUAAGCAAACCGAACAGUAAAUUCUGUUUAGCCCUUAAAGCCUCAGUUCAGUAAGAAGCCUUUAAAGACAGAUCCUGAUUGUUGUGAGCCAAAGGAAAGAAAAGUUAUAUAACACUGAGUUCAGAGAGCCUUCCACCUCUUUUUUUUAACUGAAUAUUUACACUAUUUUAAGAAUCUAUAAUUCUAUAACACAAACCCAGAUAAGAUCCUGACAUUGUCCUUAAAGCUGGAGAUGACUGCAGUUUCAACUGUAACGCAGCAACAGGCAGCAUUCUCAGACCAUAUGUAUUUCAAAAUUUUGUUAGAAAAGACAAUUGUCCAAUCACCACAGUAGGGUUAAACCAGGAAGCUUUAAUCCUCCUGUCCUGAGUUACCAGAUACUUUUACAGGCAUAACAAAAUCUCAUCUCUUUUCAAGGGCCCCACCUUGCAGGGCUGAUUGAAGAAUUUCAUUUGAAAAACUUGAAAGAUGCUUUUGAUGUGGUGAGAGAAUAAAAUAGGAGAGCUGACACUUCCUGAUUUUAUCACAUCUCAAGCGGACAGACUCUCUUUCACUUGACUUUCAUCUCCAUGAAAAGCUCAGUACUUCUGAAGGAAUCUAUUCCAGUACACCUGCGUGACUGGACAAUGCACAUUACAAUCCAGUUUCUAGGUGAUUUCAUUCACCCAGAUAUUACUGCAUUUUUGCAUUCCAGGUUCAUUUUUUUAAUACUAAUAAAAAAUAAUUUGUAAUUAAUGUCUGCCAACUGGCUGGUGGUGGCUCUACAGCUCAAGAAGACUGACAACUCUCCACCAACAGGUAUUCACAGAGCAGGGUUCUGUUCUGAGCAGCAGUUCCCUCAGCACACCUGCAGCCAGGGGGUUUGUUUUAUCUGCUAGAAGUUUUAAUUUUUCUCCUGAAAAAAAGACACAACCAACAAAACUCUCUCAGAGAAAGAGGAGAUAGAUUGAUUCAAUUUUGGUAUCUUCAGGAAACAGUCCUGUUUCUAAUCAGUCAUAACUGUGCAUUCACAUUGCUAGAAAUGGAGCUAUACAGCUACUGUAAGGAAAACCUGAAGGAAAAAAUGUUGGAUGGACACUUCAAGCUCAAUUUCUUAAAAAAUAUCUUUUACUAAUGCUACAAUGAAAGACAAAAGGAACCUUCAUCAUCACAAGAAACCUAAGUUUGGAAAAAAAACCACAGUAAAUUGUCCAGAUUUUUUGAGUAUAUGAUUCUGAGGAAUGAAAGUUUAGUAGAGAAUUAAUAUAAGCUCCUAAAUACAAUCAGGCCUUUGACAGAUAAUAAAUUACUGUGGGAUAACAAACUGCACAUAAUCCAUGGUGACCCCACAGGAAGCAGGGGAAAAUUCCAGGUAACCUCUUGUCUUUUGGUUUAAAAAAAUCAUAAAAUAAUCUCUUUCACAUUUACUGUGGGAGCUGCCAGGUCAGACUAUACUUUUGGACAGUUAUUAUGGACCAGAUGCCAUUCAUGUCUUGGAGGCCUCAGGAUGACUCGUUCAUUGCAGAUAAACUCUGAUUUGAUUGCUGCUUGAAGAAGUCAAAGGCAUUUAAUACAAAAAUGUCAUCACCAAUACAGAAAACGAGCCUCUUUGCUCGUUUGAGCUUAAGUCCAACAGUAUGCUACCUGUUUCCUUGCUUCUUCAAAGCAAGAAAUUGCUUUAGCAAAUUUGAACCUCUCAGUUUUUAAACAAGUUUUGCAAGAAGUUUGUAACAGCCUUUAAAGAAUUUCACUGAAAAUCAUCUGCUGAAGCAACCUCCUGUUCCAUGGACAACGCACCAAAGAACUUCACUGAAUAUUUGUAUAGCAAAAGGGUAGAAAGUUAAAUCACAGAAUUUACAUUUCCAUCAGAGGUCACCCUGAUUAAUUGUUACGUUUUGGUAUCUCUCCCUUCCUGCUUUAUUUUCUUCUGCUAUGACCUCUUUGUGCUCAGGAUCUUAAACUCUAACUUAGAAUCCUGUUUUAAGAACAGAGGAGCUCUGUAAAUCCAGAGUUCACAUCACAGGCUUCUGCAGUACAGCUGUGAACCCAUCAGCUUUACACAGCCACAGGCAGUUCUCUUGAGGUAACUACUCUUCAAACGACAGAAGAGAAACAAAGGACUCCAGUUUAAGCUGUUAUCGGUACAUUACCUCAUCCUGCAAGAUCUUAACAGACGAAGCAAUGUUUACGAAACCUGGUGAUGUAGAUUGGACUCUAAUGCAGUUACCUUGUUACUAUAGCUAGCUUUAUUUGAAAUUACAAUAGUCAAAUAAAAAGAAACCGAACUUACGUAGGGAUCAAUUCUUAAUGCCUUGAAGGUGGCAUACGGUAGCACUUCUAUUGAUCUGAAAGCUUCACGUGUUCACAAAAAUUAAAGCAAUAAUGACAUUAGCAAGAACAAGAAAGUGGUUAGUUCAGGUGGUCUCAAACAGCAUAUUUAAAUAAUUUACAAGAUACCUGCCUGUUAAAGUUUAUUGUUUUGUUUUUCUUUUUCUUUCUUAAAAUCUUUGUGAGGUAUUGGAAACAAAGUGCAAAAUGAUUAGCCACUCAUUUGCCCAAAUCUGCUACAACAGGGACACAAUGUAAACUAGAUUGCAGGUAAUCUCACUGUAAAAGCAUGUUUUUAAACUGAAAAUACUCCAGUGGAAAAAAAA